UGUGUAGGAGACAGUGCUAGUGAUAGCUGGCACUGACGGUACUACAGAAAGCACGCUACUACGUGCAGCAGCGCGUAUACGUAGUGGCAAGCGUAUCGAUAUUGGCGUAAGCGGCGCGCAGUGGUUUCUAAGUCUGAUGGUGAAAGCCCACGCUUCAACCCGUGGAGGGGUCAUUGGAAACUGGGAGACUGGAGUGCAGAAGAGGAAAGUGGAAUCCCAUUGGUAGCGUUGAAAUGCGUAGAAGAUAGGAAGGACCACCAGUGGCGAGGCGACUUUUCUGUUCUGUACUGACAUGAGGCGCGAAAGCGUGGGGGAGCAACCAGGAUAAAAACCCUGUAAGUCCAGGCCGUAACCGAGGAGUCUUAAGGGUUAGAGGGUUUCGCCCCUUUGUGCUUGAAGUUACGGCAUAAGGCCUUCGGCUGGGGAGGAACGGCGCCAGGCUUAAAAUUCAAAGGAAUGGACGGGGGCCGCAACAACCGUGGAACAAUGUGGUUAAAUCGGAAGCAACGGGAGGAACCUUACAAGGUCUGGCCUUCCUCGGCAAACCCUAGAGUUAGGCCUCCUCUUCGGGGACCGGAGGGCCAGUUGUGCCAUGGUUGCCUUCACUCCUUGUGUUGGGAUGUUGGGUUAAUUCCCGCAACGAGCCCAACCUUUGUCCUUAGUGCCCUCCAUUUAGUUGGCCAUCCUAAGGGGACUCCCGGGGCCAAACCGGAGGAAGGUGGGGAGGAGGUCAAUUCUUCAUCCCCCUUAUGCCUUGGGUUCCCCACGUGUUCCAAUGGCCGGUCCAAAGAGUGCCAGGACCGGGAGGGGGAGUUAUUUUCUUAAACCCUUUUCCAGUUCGGAUUGUAGGUUGCAAUUGGCCUCCAGGAAGCGGGAAUCCUUGGUAAUCGCGGAUCACCAGGCCCCGUGGAAUACGUUCCCGGCCCUGGUCCCCCCCGCCCGGCCCCCCACGAGAGUUGUACCACCCGAAGUCGGGGGGGUACCCUUUGGAGCCAGCCGCUAAGGUG
rnacentral:rRNA from 1 species